GUGUCAGCCGCCGCGGUAAUACGGGGGGGGCAAGCGUUGUUCGGAAUUACUGGGCGUAAAGGGCUCGUAGGUGGCCAACUAAGUCAGACGUGAAAUCCCUCGGCUUAACCGGGGAACUGCGUCUGAUACUGGAUGGCUUGAGUUUGGGAGAGGGACGCGGAAUUCCAGGUGUAGCGGUGAAAUGCGUAGAUAUCUGGAGGAACACCGGUGGCGAAGGCGGCGUCCUGGACCAACACUGACACUGAUGAGCGAAAGCCAGGGGAGCAAACGGGAUUAGAAACCCCAGUAGUCC
rnacentral:rRNA from 1 species